GACGAACGCUGGCGGCGUGCCUAAUACAUGCAAGUCGAACGCACAGUUUAUACCGUAGCUUGCUACACCAUAGACUGUGAGGUGCGAACGGGUGAGUAACGCGUAGGUAACCUGCCUGGUAGCGGGGGAUAACUAUUGGAAACGAUAGCUAAUACCGCAUAAUAUUAAUUAUUGCAUGAUAAUUAAUUGAAAGGUGCAAUUGCACCACUACCAGAUGGACCUGCGUUGUAUUAGCUAGUAGGUGAGGUAACGGCCCACCUAGGCGAGGAUACAUAGCCGACCUGCGAGGGUGCGCGGCCACGCUGGGACUGGGACACGGCCCAGACUCCUACGGGAGGCAGCCGUAGGGGAUCUUCGGCGAUGGACGAAAGUCUGACCGAGCAACGCCGCGUGAGUGAAGAAGGUUUUCGGGUCGUAAAGAUCUGUUGUGAGAGAAGAACGGGUGUGAGAGUGGAAAGUUCACACUGUGACGGUAUCUUAACAGAAAGGGACGGCUAACUACGUG
rnacentral:rRNA from 1 species